rnacentral:rRNA from 1 species
GCAGCCGCGGUAAUACAGAGGGUGCAAGCGUUGCUCGGAUUUACUGGGCGUAAAGCGUACGCAGACGGUGAGAAAGGUCGGAUGUGAAAGCCCCGGGCUCAACCUGGGAAUGGCAUUGGAAACUGGCUGACUGGAGUGCGGUAGAGGGUAGUGGAAUUCCCGGUGUAGCAGUGAAAUGCGUAGAUAUCGGGAGGAACAUCCGUGGCGAAGGCGACUACCUGGACCAGCACUGACACUGAGGCACGAAAGCGUGGGGAGCAAA